GACGAACGCUGGCGGCGUGCUUAACACAUGCAAGUCGAACGGAAAGGCCCUGCUUUUGUGGGGUGCUCGAGUGGCGAACGGGUGAGUAACACGUGAGUAACCUGCCCUUGACUUUGGGAUAACUUCAGGAAACUGGGGCUAAUACCGGAUAGGAGCUCCUGCUGCAUGGUGGGGGUUGGAAUGCUUCGGCGGUUGGGGAUGGACUCGCGGCUUAUCAGCUUGUUGGUGGGGUAGUGGCUUACCAAGGCUUUGACGGGUAGCCGGCCUGAGAGGGUGACCGGCCACAUUGGGACUGAGAUACGGCCCAGACUCCUACGGGAGGCAGCAGUGGGGAAUAUUGCACAAUGGGCGGAAGCCUGAUGCAGCAACGCCGCGUGCGGGAUGACGGCCUUCGGGUUGUAAACCGCUUUCGCCUGUGACGAAGCGUGAGUGACGGUAAUGGGUGAAGAAGCACCGGCUAACUACGUG
rnacentral:rRNA from 1 species